UGGAAACAAGUCCUAGCCAUUAUAUUAUGGAAAAGCAUUUCAGUGUGCACCUGAAAUGGAUGGCCUUCUGCUCCGUGACGUACAGUCCCUUUCCACAGUUUCGGAGAGAAAGCCAUGUCUGGAGUUUGCACCUGCAUAUCCCUGAAGCUUCUCAGAGUCCUGUGGACACCCACCGAGGAGACAAACCAUGCAGGAAACAUCU